UUGCCUGCAAUAAGUUGAGCCUGAAAUCUCAUUUUUCAGUUGGAUACCUACUCAUGUCAUGGAUCUGUAGUAUUCUUUUUGCUUACUCCAGCAGUAGGAAAUAAUAUAGGGACAGAACUCAAGAGAGAGAAAAUGAGCAAUAGGGCAAUGAGGCACACUCCCAUUGUCUGGUAGAAAAAAGAUGCAUGAGUCUUCCAUAUGUCAAGUAGAUACUACAAAGGUACCAGGCUUGAACUAUUGUGAAGCAAGUUCAUCCUAGACUGUGACUUACUAAGAGAAGAGACCCCAGCAGCAAAAGCCUGUAAGGUGAGUUAUGCAGGAAAUAAGGAGACUGGAAGAGGUCUACAGGAGUCGAUUUCCUAUGAAAGGAGGUUGUGCAAUGAAGAGACUGCCUGCUACAUGGAGGACAGAGGUCACAACAACAACUGGUUGCAGAGUCAGAAGACACCCCUAAGAAGACAUAAAGUACUGUUGUUCAGAAGGAAGGCAUUGGGAAAGUCAAAAGGACACCAGAAAUAGUGAACUCAACAUUGAUUUGCACAUUUGACCAAGGCUGGAGCAGUGGAAAGAGAACUAUGCACAAGGAUGAGGAGAAUAAUUGUGAUUGUGGGACAGGGCCCCAGGAGAGAGGUAUAGCAGACUGGCCUUGGAAAGCCUGCAGCUGCAUCAGGAAGGCAAAGCAUGCUUGGAAAAAAUGCUGACUGAAGUAAGGCAGAACCUAGAGGGUGGGUGGAUACUCCAUAACUGUAUUCAAAUUGGGCACUCUCUUGUUGUAAAGCCUUUGCGUAAGUGCAACUGAGAAAAUAUAUGGUAGAAAAAAAAGGCUAUGUUCUGACCAGCUCGAGGAUGGGGGAAUAUCAUGCAUAAUAUGUGCAAACUAUGUGAAGAAAAGUACAAGUUAAUAUGAUCACAAAAAUAUUCAGAAAAACACAGAGUGAAGGAGGUAAGACAAGAGGUAAUGAAAUAAUUAGUGAAGUAUGGGCUCCUGUGCAAGGGAAUAUCUUGAGACAGAUUUUUGAAGAGAAGUUAGAUGUGGGCUGAUGAAGAGGAACUGUCACUCCACAUUGAGGGAGUGGUCUCUGCAAAGGUGGUAGCUUAGCUUGGGUUCCUAAGAAAAGAGUCUGAGGUUAAUCUUAUGAGCACAUGCUUUAUUGUAGAGUACAAGUCCAGAGAAGCAAGUGUGACAAAAAAGGAAGGAUAGGAAACAAAAAGUCAUGUUAUUGAGCUCUGGUUAUAGGAAAUUUAAAUGGUUACUCAGUUACACUGAACAUCUCCAGAGAGAUUCAUGAAUUCACGGCACCUUAGAAAAAUUCUUUGGUGGAAAGAAGGGCAAACAAUCUAUCUACUGGCUUCUUUCCAUCUCCUGUUUCUCAUGCUUACUUGACCUAACAAAGUGUUAACUUGCACAUCUUCCCUCCAGACAGCUGCUGGGUUAGUAACUAACUCCAACUUAGUUACUGGAGCUGCUGCUGUUUCUGCUGUGAUGAGAGGUAUGGAGGCCAUGUCAAAGCCUGGCUUUUUCUCCCCAGGAUUUGCAGGGAAGGCUGCAAAAACCAGGGUGAGAGAUGCUGAGUCUUCUGAGUUUUAUGACCAUUGGAAUGGCAUGAGUCAAUCAACCAUUGCUGAGCUCCUCUGAUCAGGACUCUGGGCAAGCAACAGUCUGGGGCUGAGGGUAGAUGAGGCCCAGGAGGAUCUGAGGAAAUGUCCAAGAUAGGUCUGGAAGAGUGAGGAAAAUGGAUGAUGAAAACUUAGCAUGUCUAGAAGGAGUGAGGUCUCAACAAAUGUGUAACUUAGUGUAUGUAGUAUUGGAGUGACGUUCUAGGAAUGGCCAAAAGCUAGGAUUCCAUAGGCUGAUUUGAAUGAAUUUGAGAUGUGUGCCCAUUUUGUUGUGCUUAUUAUGGCUGAUCCUGUAGUUUUAGCAAUUCAGUGAUCAUCUCAACUUUCUUCCUAAACAGCUGAGCCUGGAAAGCUAAAACUAACACUUUUCAGACUUCAAUGAAAUUACUGUUCUGAAUAUGAUUCAGGUUCUACCAAAGAGAUGUAUUCAUGAGAACUGAAUUUAGAACUGAAGGAAGUGGGGAGAGAAGCAUGAGCUGUGAUGGUAGUAGCUGCUGGGUAAGUGGCCAGCAGCCACUAUGGUACUUCCUAUCAUGGCAGAGACAACUGGUCUCAGAGGUGCCCAGUUGUGUCUUGUGGCUUUGGACAUUUCUCCUGGAUGCUCAACCUAGAGACUGUUUAUCUCUCAAGUGAUUUGUAAACCUUUUAAUGCUCUGUGAAAAAAAAAUUUAAUCCCUUUUGCCUAAACCAGCUAGAGUGGAUUCUAUUCUGAGGAAAUGACCAUAUUUUAAAGGUUUGCUGGAGAAGUCUGGAUGGGGGGUGGAGAGAAAGAAAUAUAAAAAUAGAGAUAGAAAUAGCUAAAUGGAGGGUAGAGAUAUUAAUUCCGGCUCUUAGAUGGUGGGCAACUCACUACCCACAAUUAUUAAAUCUGAUUUUUCCUCUCAGCACACAUUCAUAUAGAUACCAUGUAUGAAGAAUACAGGAGAACCCUGAAGGUAUCCAAAUGAAAUUGACUUCCCAGUCAUCAUUAAACAUUUAAAGAACUUCAACAAAACAUGCUCCAUGUUAAGGACUUUAGCACCUAAAAAUAAGGAAAGAUGCAGCUUUUGAUUUUAAACAUUUAUUGUUUUCAAGGGAAAGCCUUCUGUAUCCCUGCACACUUUAAGCAGGUAAAUGUUAGAUUGCUGCAUCAGCUCCUGGACUCUGCAUAACUUCUGAUGUCCUUCUGGUAAACCUUGAUCCCUUAUUGCAUCAUGUGACCUCCUCUCCCCCAGCUCUAGCUCUGCCUAGCCGGAAUUGUAGAAUAAGUCUGUCAAUUUUCACUGACAAGCCUACUGGGAUUUUGAUUAGGAUUGCAUUGAAUCAAAAGUAUUUCUGUGUGGACAGUUUUCAAAUCACUUGGGUUAAUACCUAUACCUAGAAGCAUAAUUGCUGGACUGUAUGGUAAGACUAUAUUUAGCUUUAUAAGAAAUUGCCAAACUGUCUUCCAAAGUGGUUGCACCAGGAGAGUUCCUGUUGCUCUGUGUCUUUGCCAGCAUACAAUAUUGUCAGUGUUUAAGAUUUUAGCCAUUCUAAUAGGUGUGUUGUGGUUUCUCAUUUUUGUUUUAAUUUGGGCAUUUUCCUAAUUACAAAAUGGUGCUUGAGUCUUUUAAUAUGUUUAUUUGCUAUUUCUAUAUCUUCUUUAUUGAUGUGUCUGUUCAGAUCUCUUAUUUUUAAAUAUCUGUUUUCUUAUUAUUGAAUUUUAAGAGUUUCUUGUAAGUUUUAAAUACAAGUCCUUUAUUAAAUAUGUUUCACAGAAAAUACUCUCCCAGUCUAUGGCUUGUUUUUUCUUUUUAAAUAUCUUAACAGUGACUUUCACAGAGCAGAAGUUUUAUACUUUGAUAAAGUCCCACUUACCAAUUCUCUUUUAUGGAUUAAACUUCUGGAAUAAAGGACUAUGAUAUUUCUUGCAAUUUUAUAGUGCAAAAUUUGUACCCAUUGUAUACUAAUCAAGGCAUAAUUAUAUUUUUAUUUGUGUUAUUUUAAUAUUAGCCAGGUGAGGUGGCAUGUGCCUAUAAUCUCAGCUACUUGGGAAGCUGAGGUGGGAGGAUCACUUGGGCCCAGGAGUUGGAGACAAGCCUGGGCUAUAUAGCGAGAUCCUGUUUCAAAAAGCAAAAGCAGAAACAAACAAAAUCUUUGGUUUUGCCCACUAAAUGCUAAGCUCCAUGAGGUAGUGAUUAUGCCUUUUUUGACUAUCAUUAUAUCCCGGCGUCUAAUUUUGUGUUCAGCACAUGGCAGAUACCUAACCAAUGGUAAUUGCUUUGUUCAUACGUAAUGAAUGAUUGGUGACUUCACUGUCCAGUGGACUCAACGUUUCCAUUAUUUUGUUCACUAUACUCUAAACUUUAUUGCCUCUUUCUUUUCAUUUUAUUUACCAGGAAAAUUCAUAACUGUAGAUGAGUGGAAGCUUCCAUGCUUUCCUUGCUUGCAUCAAACUAGAACCUGGCCAGGGAGCUAACAACAAUUUUUACUUUUUGAGGAUUGUUAAAAUAGCAAAG
rnacentral:lncRNA from 10 species